AAGGUGCUGCUUUAGCCCAAUAAUAGCGUUGCUGUCAUACGAUAGAAUGGAUAGAGAGAGAGAGAGAGAUGUGGGUCAUCGCUCUUCCCUGAGGCCUGAACCAGUGAAGUGAACCGUCAUGGGAGUUUGUCGGCCCUUUCUUCGUUGUCUCUCCGAUCCCGAACCAGUUGGGAGUUCUUCUCUGAUUAUGAAAUUGGCAGUGGUGGCACUGCACUUUCUCUUCACGGGUAUUCUGUUUCUUGGGAAAGCUGAGCCAGUUCCUUGGUAAAUGCCUCUAUCUAAGACCUAUCUAGUCAUUACACUACACGCCUUCUUCAUGUAAGAAUGGUGUUAAUUACACUACACGCUUGUGCACCUCCGACCUCUAAGUAAGAAUGGUGUUUAUUUUGUCUGUGGAGGAGUUUGAUGGAAUUGUACUAUCCUUAUUCUACUCUAGUCUCACUCUUGUCUCCUACUUUUUAUUAUGCCGUUUAAGAGAAGACAAUCUCCUUCAAGCGUUUUUUUAACUGUGGACCGAUCGAGGUCAUCCUGUUUCUGGGGGAAAUUUCCCAACUUCCUGGGCAGUGGGAUGUGCAGAAACAUAUACAAGGGAUGUUGCGGGAGCCACUGCCCACAGCAUAUGAAGUGGAGCAAAAAUCAAGACCCUACACUUGCGUAGGCUUGUUCAAGUGCGGCUGCUGCUGAUUCGUUUGUGUCUCUAGUUUCUUAUUACAUACUAUUGAUGUACAUGCACUCCAUACUUUUUCCUUUCUUUCUGAAAGAGGUUGUUGAUCUUCUGAAUCCACCCACAAUCACAAUCAAAUAGGUAUUAGACAUA